CUCCUCCGACUGUACUCCCAGGACUGAACUUACGGGAAGGAGUGCUUCCAAGAUGGGAGACGAAGAAGAAGAAGCCGCUGAAUCUGGCGGCAAUGGCUGGGAUGCUGCGUUCUCGAGAAGAAGCGUUAUUUCUGCAUUCCAAGAAGGACGGCACAAUGUGUCGGACUGUCCGCGUCGCAUUGAACUGGUCCGAUGAGGCUGCUAUUGCACACACAGUGAGGGAAAUCCCAUACGGGAACUCGGAAGUACUGCUACAGUACAGGUACAUCAUCCCGUGACGACCACAUCG